UACGUAGGGUGCAAGCAUUGUCCGGAAUUAUUGGGCGUAAAGAGCUCGUAGGCGGUCUGUCGCGUCUGCUGUGAAAACUCAGGGCUUAACCCUGAGCUUGCAGUGGGUACGGGCAGACUAGAGUGCGGUAGGGGAGACUGGAAUUCCUGGUGUAGCGGUGAAAUGCGCAGAUAUCAGGAGGAACACCGGUGGCGAAGGCGGGUCUCUGGGCCGUAACUGACGCUGAGGAGCGAAAGCAUGGGGAGCGAACAGG
rnacentral:rRNA from 1 species